rnacentral:ncRNA from 1 species
GCCAUCAACUUUAACCAGAUUUACACAUGCGAGUAUCCGCACCCCCGUGAGAAUGCCCUACAGCCUCCUGAACUGGAGACGAGGAGCCGGUAUCAGGCACAAUACUUAUAGCCCAUGACACCUUGCUUAGCCACACCCCCAAGGGAAUUCAGCAGUGAUAAACAUUAAGCCAUAAGUGAAAACUUGACUUAGUUAGCGUUAAUAGGGUCGGUAAAUUUCGUGCCAGCCACCGCGGUUAUACGAGAGACCCAAGUUGAUAGCCCUCGGCGUAAAGAGUGGUUAAGAAACACCCUAAAACUAAAGUUAAACGACUUCAAAGCUGUUAUACGCACAUGAAUAUAUGAAAACCAACUACGAAAGUGACUUUAAAUUCCUGAACCCACGAAAGCUAUGACACAAACUGGGAUUAGAUACCCCACUAUGCGUAGCUGUAAACAUUGAUACYAACAUACCUAUUUUAUCCGCCUGGGUACUACGAGCACUAGCUUGAAACCCAAAGGACUUGACGGUGCUUUAGAUCCACCUAGAGGAGCCUGUUCUAGAACCGAUAAUCCCCGUUAAACCUCACCUUUCCUUGCCCUGUCAGCCUAUAUACCGCCGUCGUCAGUUUACUCUGUGAAGAUUCUGAAGUAAGCACAAUCGGUACAACCCAAAACGCCAGGUCGAGGUGUAGCCAAUGGAAAGGGAAGAAAUGGGCUACAUUCARUAGAUAAUAAUGAAUACGGAUGAUAUUUUGAAAAUAGAUAUCUGAAGGAGGAUUUAGCAGUAAGUAGAGAAUAGAGCGCUCUACUGAAAUUGGCCCUGAAGCGCGUACACACCGCCCGUCACUCUCCCCGAGCUAAAAAAACACAUUUCUAAUAAGCAAAACCUGCAAAGGGGAGGC